UAUCAGGUUAUGGUCUCACAUCCACUUGAGUAGCAGUAACUGAAUAAUUGAAUGUUCCCCUUGAACCAAAUAGUUUGCUCCUGGAAUUACAGGUGGGUUGGUUCUUCAUGCUUCUGACACUGCAUUGCUUUUUUUGUGGCAGCUACUUCUUGCCUUCUUGCACAGCCAUAUCUGUCAAUACCACAUGGAAGCACACAGCCCGUAGUGUUGAGGAGCUUUGCCUGCAAAAUUCCUGCUUUUGUUUUGAGACUGCUCCUAUGAGAUACUCCCUUCAAUGGCACCUUAAUGGUUACACAGGGCACUGAGGAAGGCUCAAACCUUCAUAACUACAGUACAGCUCCCUCCAUCCAGGUACACUGGGCGUUUGGCAUUCAUACGAAGUUUCUUUGGCAGGCACUGCUUACCAUUUCCUCAUAUUAACAUCUAUCACAAAGAAAUCUCAUCUUCGGGCUCCAGCAGCCUAAUGGCUUCCUUCAGCAUCUGAAUACAUCAACAGCUGUGGCUUCAGCCAUUUUGUCUGACCAAACUGAGAGCGGCCCAAAACCUGCUUCUGCACCAGGAGGGGAUAAAGGAGCCUCUUCUUCUGCAGAGAAGGCUUCCCACAAAACAUACAGAAUUGCAAACAUAAUUCUUCCUUCUCUCCACAGUCCUGAUCGCAGCAAUCUGAAGGCAGAAUGUUUACUCAAAAGGGAGUAUGUCUUUAAACAUCACAAGGCGUGCUUACAGCACUGUGCUGCACAGACAUUGUGUAUCAGAGUACGUGUCUGUGCCACAGAUGAGGCGAUGAUGUCAGCUGAAAAUGCCCUUGUGCCCAGCUGGCAGCAGUGCUGGUGUGCAGCCCUGCUGUGCUGUCACUGUGCUGCUGAGAGCUGCUGCUGCUGGGAAGGGCCAUUCUGUGACACUGCACUUCUGUCUCCUGCUUUCAUGCUAUUUCAGUGCUCUCUGUCUUUGCUCAUGCUGUUCAGCGUGCAGACCUAGCAGAAAGCCUUGAAGGCAGUAAAUUGUCAGAGCAGUCUGGACUUGCAAUGAGCUAUUUUAUGACCAAGUACAGAAAUUCUUCACUUCUUAUUUCAUUCAAAAGUUGUGUGAUUUGAGCAUGAUUGUCCUGGGCUUUUUGUUUCUUUCUUUGUUUUUUUUCCCCCCUCUUUUAAUGCAAGUGAGGAAAAGCCUCACCCUGCAGGCAUGAAAACAGCAUUCUCCAUAGUGAGGACUCUUAGGAGCCUUUUGGAGAAAGGGGUCUGGAGUUAUCUGUGUGUUUACAUCUUCUGCAUUGAUUUCUCUAAGCUGACAGUGCAGUGGGCAGUGCAUCAAUAUGCAGUCUGUGGUGAGAGAGACCAAGGCAUUGCAGGGCAUGCACACUUGUCUGUUGCCUCAUGCCAGAGCUCAGUGCCAUGCCUCUUCUCAGCAUCAAACAUAGGAUCAUCACUGACAUCAGUGACAGCGCAGCCUUUUUGUGAGCGCUGUGCAGCCUCUGCAGUUUAUAAAUAGCAUUCCCAAGGGACAGCUGCAGAAUGACCCAGAUUGACCAAAAUACACCGUGUUUAGAAAAUUCCAUGCUAAAACAGCCCUUCCCCUGACGGGUACACAUCCUUGACUCUAUUUCUGCUCCAACGCUCAUCGGCAUUUCAGCCAGGAGGAAAAGCAGCUCCUCUUGGGCUGUCACGACAGUGAGGUGACAGAGGCAAAGAAAAGAAGUUUGGCUUUCUGUGUUGUCAAGUAAAAGGUUCUCCAGUUUGCAUUUCAGUCGGGACCGUGGACUGAGAUUUUGUCUCCUUU
rnacentral:lncRNA from 1 species